AGAAUCAACGCUGGCGGCGUGCCUAACACAUGCAAGUCGAACGAGAAAGUGGAGCAAUCCAUUAGUAAAGUGGCGCACGGGUGAGUAACACGUGACUAACCUACCCUUGAGUGGGGGAUAACCUAGGGAACCUGGGCUAAUACCGCAUAAUACCUUCGGGUCAAAGGAGCAAUUCGCUUAAGGAGGGGGUCGCGGCCGAUUAGUUAGUUGGCGGGGUAAUGGCCCACCAAGACGAUGAUCGGUAU
rnacentral:rRNA from 1 species